rnacentral:misc_RNA from 1 species
GGAUUUAUCCCUAUGAUGUUCUUCAAGACCUAUUGAAAUCUGUCUGCUCUUUGUGCAACAGCAGAUCGAACAGCACAAAAUCACAAUAUCACAUGUCACACAAUCUGCUUCAUGGUUUUCCCCUUUUCGGUCUAGAUUUUUUGAAAAUUGAAUCAAAUGAGUAGUGGCAAAGCGAAGAGUGUACGACCUUCUCGCAAGAUUUGAAAAUGAUGAUUUUAAACUUACUGACUUCAAUCCAGAAGCAGUAGAAAUAUAACAGGAACCAAUGCACAUACCAUCACAAUUGUUUUCCUCGCUACAACAUAAUUGUGAACAACAGUGCAUUUAUGACAUGAGCUUUAAAAUCUUGAGAUACUUGAUUGAAAAUCAGCAAGUUGGAAAACAAUUUUUGUGGAAAAUAUUUGUAAAUUUUCUACAGAAAGAUUGUGCUUUUUUCUUGCCCUUGUUGUCGGAAUGUUAAAAAGUAUUCCUCAAGCCGCUAAAAGUUCAUCACAGUGAGUUGCUUCUAUUUCACACAGUUCUACUUUUAAGCAAGGAAAUGUAUGAUAAAGCUUACCAAGAAGCUUGCAAUUUUACUGCCAGGGAAUUAUCAAUUGAAACCAGUUAUUGUGAAACUGCUAAAGCUGCUUCAUCAGCUAUACUUAUGGGAUACAAGACCAUUUUGGACUACCAGAAUAUGGAUACUGGUGAUGAUGAGAUGCUCCAUGUUAUUAAGGAGUCAUUCCAACUGCUGUUUUCAAAGAAAACCUUUGAGCCUUUGUUUGCUGAACCCUACACUUACAUUUUGAUGAAGUUGAAAUUACAAGAAGAAGCUGAAGCAUUUCUUGAGAAGUAUGUUGAAAAAGAGUUUAAAGGAAAUUUUGGAGUCUCUGGUGCCCUUCAUCCCUUGAAUAUAAUCAAGUUGCAUAUUCCAAAAGCCAGUCCAAAUCUUACCAUCUCCUUCCUUGAAAUGAUUGCAAAGAGAGAUUUUGGAAAUUCAAAGGUAUUAGACCUAUGUAAACACUACUUGCAUACUCUUAAUUCUGCGACUUGCAGUAUCUCUGACAAUGAAUCCGAUUGCGGUUCGGAUGCAGGCCCCAUUUCAUUCGCCCCUGAACCCAACGGUGUGUGAACAAAUGUCUAGAGUUGAUUAUGUGCUUUCUAGACAUUUACGUAAAACACUUACCUUCUGCUGUCAUCAAAAAAGAAUGGAGUAUUAUGACCGAAAUCCUGAAAAGGAUUUGCUUGCAAGGCAGAGGAGUACUACACCACCAAGGCAGCGGAGUACUACACCACAAAGGCAGCGGAGUACUACACCACCAAGGCAGCGGAGUACUACACCACCAAGUAUGCUGCCCAAGCCCAUUAGACCGAGGCUCUAAGAACUACUCCGUUCCCAGCUACUACAUCGAGGCUCCAGUUUAUUACACCACCACGUGGUCAAAUACUACACUGAAGCGCCCAAGUACUACUCUGCCCCGAAUUACUACACAGCGGCUGUUCCUUCGUUCUUCGUGGGACCGAAGUACUACACUGAGUCUCCAGUUUACUACACUACAACUUACGCUGCACCUAGCUACACCUAGCCAAUACACCAAGGCCCCCAAGUAAUACAUCGACGAGGCCGCAAGUUGAACUACAACCCACGUUGCCCUCAGCUACCAUACCGAGGCUCGCUCCCAAACCGACGCUUCCAAGUACUACACAACCAAGGCACCCGAGCUACUACUUAGGCUGCUCCGACCUACUGCACCGAAGCUGCGAAGUAUUCCACUGCCCCGAGUUACUACACCACCAAGGCACCUGAAUGUUACAUCACAACCUUCGCUUCUCCAGUUUACUACAGGGAGGCUCUUAAAUACCAGAGCCGAAAUGUCUGAUUUAUUUAUUUGUGUUUGUCGGUCAUAUCUUAAUAGUUACUAUAGUAACUGGGAAUAGUUGUUGAUCUUAAAUGAGAAAAUAAAUGUUUUAAUGGUAACCAUCUUCUGCGACAUCUCCUAAAACACCUUCAAG